UACGAAGGGGGCUAGCGUUGUUCGGAAUUACUGGGCGGAAAGCGCACGUAGGCGGAUAUUUAAGUCAGGGGUGAAAUCCCAGAGCUCAACUCUGGAACUGCCUUUGAUACUGGGUAUCUUGAGUAUGGAAGAGGUGAGUGGAAUUCCGAGUGUAGAGGUGAAAUUCGUAGAUAUUCGGAGGAACACCAGUGGCGAAGGCGGCUCACUGGUCCAUUACUGACGCUGAGGUGCGAAAGCGUGGGGAGCAAACAGG
rnacentral:rRNA from 1 species